CCUACGGGGGGCAGCAGUGAGGAAUAUUGGUCAAUGGACGAGAGUCUGAACCAGCCAAGUAGCGUGAAGGAUGACUGCCCUAUGGGUUGUAAACUUCUUUUAUAUGGGAAUAAAACGUUCCACGUGUGGGAUUUUGUAUGUACCAUAUGAAUAAGGAUCGGCUAACUCCGUGCCAGCAGCCGCGGUAAUACGGAGGAUCCGAGCGUUAUCCGGAUUUAUUGGGGUUAAAGGGAGCGUAGGUGGAUUGUUAAGUCAGUUGUGAAAGUUUGCGGCUCAACCGUAAAAUUGCAGUUGAAACUGGCAGUCUUGAGUACAGUAGAGGUGGGCGGAAUUCGUGGUGUAGCGGUGAAAUGCUUAGAUAUCACGAAGAACCCCGAUUGCGAAGGCAGUUCACUGGACUGCAACUGACACUGAGGCUCGAAAGUGUGGGUAUCAAACAGGAUUAGAUACCCUAGUAGUC
rnacentral:rRNA from 1 species